AACCAUAGAAACCUGCGGAGUACCUGCGGAGGGAUCAUUACCGAGUUUACAACUCCCAAACCCCUGUGAACAUACCAAUUGUUGCCUCGGCGGAUCAGCCCGCUCCCGGUAAAACGGGACGGCCCGCCAGAGGACCCCUAAACUCUGUUUCUAUAUGUAACUUCUGAGUAAAACCAUAAAUAAAUCAAAACUUUUAACAAUGGAUCU
rnacentral:misc_RNA from 1 species